CUCUUAUCCGGAGUGGUGGAGGGACUAGCCCUAUGAAACCCGGCAACCAGCUUGAUACGCGCGAUUUAUGUCUUAGCGUGGAGAAAGCAUGGUGCUAAUUCUUGCAGGAGAAGAUUUUCCUGGCAGAUAAGAG
rnacentral:ncRNA from 2 species